rnacentral:rRNA from 1 species
UACGGGGGGGACAAGCGUUGUUCGGAAUUACUGGGCGUAAAGGGCUCGUAGGCGGCCAACUAAGUCAGACGUGAAAUCCCUCGGCUUAACCGGGGAACUGCGUCUGAUACUGGAUGGCUUGAGUUCGGGAGAGGGAUGCGGAAUUCCAGGUGUAGCGGUGAAAUGCGUAGAUAUCUGGAGGAACACCGGUGGCGAAGGCGGCAUCCUGGACCGACACUGACGCUGAGGAGCGAAAGCCAGGGGAGCAAACGGG